rnacentral:RNase_P_RNA from 2 species
CCAACAGACCGCCUUAUCGCUGUUUUGAGCAAUCAAGAGAGAGGAAAGUCCGGACACCAUAGAGAAGCAUAGCGGGUAACACCCGUCGGUUUCAAUGUAUUGAAAUUAGGACAAGUGCAACAGAAAGUAUGUACAGGUAAUGCUGUAGUGAAACCAGGUAAACUCUAUGCGGUGAAAUAUCAAGUAUAUCAGCAUUUAAAAGCUUCUCGUUUGUUGCUGAAGGGUAGAUAGUUGGAGUCUCAGAGUAAUUUGAGACCUAGAUAAAUGAUAAGGGUUUGCUUUUGCAAAUACAGAAUCCGGCUUAUAGGUCUGUUUUUUUU